CCGGUAAGGUGAUAUGAACCGUUAUAACCGGCGAUACCCGAAUGGGGAAACCCAGUGUGAUUCGUCACACUAUCAUUAACUGAAUCCAUAGGUUAAUGAGGCGAACCGGGGGAACUGAAACAUCUAAGUACCCCGAGGAAAAGAAAUCAACCGAGAUUCCCCCAGUAGCGGCGAGCGAACGGGGAGGAGCCCAGAGCCUGAAUCAGCAUGUGUGUUAGUGGAAGCGUCUGGAAAGGCGCGCGAUACAGGGUGACAGCCCCGUACACAAAAGCGCAUGUGCUGUGAGCUCGAUGAGUAGGGCGGGACACGUGGUAUCCUGUCUGAAUAUGGGGGGACCAUCCUCCAAGGCUAAAUACUCCUGACUGACCGAUAGUGAACCAGUACCGUGAGGGAAAGGCGAAAAGAACCCCGG
rnacentral:rRNA from 1 species